GUUAAAUGGGAGAUAAAAUUAUUAACAUCUUCGUGUUUCAGCUAACGCGGAAACACUCCGCCUGGGGACUACGGUCGCAAGAUUAAAACUCAAAGGAAUUGACGGAGAUCAGUACGUGCGGUGGAACAUGUGAUUUAAUGCGUCAAUACGCGCAAACCUUACCCUAUCUUGUUCCUUUCCUACCAAACCGAUUUAUAUAUGUUGAUUAUAAACCAAAUUUUAUAAAAGGUGGGAAAGAGAUCAGGUGUUGCAUGGUUGUCUUAAGUCCGUGCUGAUGAGUGUUCGGUUAAUUCCCUGAACGGACGGAACCCUUAGCUUUAAUUACUGUUUUUUUUAUAAAAUUUUUAUAAAUAAUAAGAUUUUAUUAGAGUGACUGCCUACGGAAUGUAGGAGGCAGGAUAGGAAUAAGUCAAAUCCUUAUGGCCUUUAUGAGAGGGGCU
rnacentral:rRNA from 1 species